CAUACAUUUAAUUUUUCUUUUCUCUCUCCUCUCUCAUCUCUCUACUCUUCCCCUUCCUUCCGAAUCUUCCCCUUCUCGCAUAUUCUUCUUCUUCUUCUUCUUCUUCUCUGUUCAUGUUAAUGGCGUUCCUUUCUCUUCUCUUCUCUCUCAUGUUCAUCUUUCAUCUCUUCUUCUCUUCUCUUAUUAUAUCAAAGCUCGUGGCUUGUGGUUCGUGGUGCGACAUGGGGAGGCGCAGAUCUGGUGCACUUCGUCCCCAAUCCUGACUACUGACUGCCUCCACCUCCAGCGCCCUUCGUCCCCAACCCUGGCCAAAUUCGCUUUGCAUCGUCCCCAAUCCCGAGAUCUCGGAUCCGCACGGCAAGGGAGAUUGCAUCAAUUAUGGAUUCAUGAGCGAGAUCUGAAGCUCAAAACCAAAAGGCCUUGGGUUCACGCGACAAAGAGGUUGCAUCAAGGAUUUUAUCACCAAAAAGCUCAAAACAAUGGUGAUGGCCUUUUCAGCAAAUCAAAAAUAAUCAAGCUAGAAGAAGAUGACAGAGAGUGAUGAGCACUGGGUUUGUGGGUUUUUGAAAGAAAGAAGAAGAACAAUUCUUUUAGAGAAGAUUUAUUUAUUUUCUUUUAGGUUUAGUUUUUGGGAAGAAGUUUUUAUUUGAUUUUCUAUGUUAGAAAGAUUUAAUUUAAUAUUUUAUAUUAAUAUCUUAGAUUUUAUUUGUUGAA